rnacentral:rRNA from 1 species
GACAGAGGGGGCAAGCGUUGCUCGGAAUCACUGGGCGUAAAGGGCGCGUAGGCGGGAUGGCAAGUCAGUCGUGAAAUCUCUCGGCUCAACCGAGAAACGUCGGCUGAUACUGCCGUUCUUGAGGGAUGCAGAGGAGACUGGAAUUCCCGGUGUAGCGGUGAAAUGUGUAGAGAUCGGGAGGAACACCGGUGGCGAAGGCGGGUCUCUGGGCAUCUCCUGACGCUGAGGCACGAAAGCCAGGGGAGCGAACGGG